rnacentral:rRNA from 1 species
GACGAACGCUGGCGGCGUGCUUAACACAUGCAAGUCGAACGGAAAGGCCCUGCUUUUGUGGGGUGCUCGAGUGGCGAACGGGUGAGUAACACGUGAGUAACCUGCCCUUGACUUUGGGUUAACUUCAGGAAACUGGGGCUAAUACCGGAUAGGAGCUCCUGCUGCAUGGUGGGGGUUGGAAAGUUUCGGCGGUUGGGGAUGGACUCGCGGCUUAUCAGCUUGUUGGUGGGGUAGUGGCUUACCAAGGCUUUGACGGGUAGCCGGCCUGAGAGGGUGACCGGCCACAUUGGGACUGAGAUACGGCCCAGACUCCUACGGGAGGCAGCAGUGGGGAAUAUUGCACAAUGGGCGGAAGCCUGAUGCAGCAACGCCGCGUGCGGGAUGACGGCCUUCGGGUUGUAAACCGCUUUCGCCUGUGACGAAGCGUGAGUGACGGUAAUGGGUAAAGAAGCACCGGCUAACUACGUGCCAGCAGCCGCGGUGAUACGUAGGGUGCGAGCGUUGUCCGGAUUUAUUGGGCGUAAAGGGCUCGUAGGUGGUUGAUCGCGUCGGAAGUGUAAUCUUGGGGCUUAACCCUGAGCGUGCUUUCGAUACGGGUUGACUUGAGGAAGGUAGGGGAGAAUGGAAUUCCUGGUGGAGCGGUGGAAUGCGCAGAUAUCAGGAGGAACACCAGUGGCGAAGGCGGUUCUCUGGGCCUUUCCUGACGCUGAGGAGCGAAAGCGUGGGGAGCGAACAGGCUUAGAUACCCUGGUAGUCCACGCUGUAAACGGUGGGUACUAGGUGUGGGGUCCAUUCCACGGGUUCCGUGCCGUAGCUAACGCUUUAAGUACCCCGCCUGGGGAGUACGGCCGCAAGGCUAAAACUCAAAGGAAUUGACGGGGCCCCGCACAAGCGGCGGAGCAUGCGGAUUAAUUCGAUGCAACGCGUAGAACCUUACCUGGGUUUGACAUGGAUCGGGAGUGCUCAGAGAUGGGUGUGCCUCUUUUGGGGUCGGUUCACAGGUGGUGCAUGGCUGUCGUCAGCUCGUGUCGUGAGAUGUUGGGUUAAGUCCCGCAACGAGCGCAACCCUUGUUCACUGUUGUCAGCACGUUAUGGUGGGGACUCAGUGGAGACCGCCGGGGUCAACUCGGAGGAAGGUGGGGAUGACGUCAAGUCAUCAUGCCCCUUAUGUCCAGGGCUUCACGCAUGCUACAAUGGCUGGUACAGAGAGUGGCGAGCCUGUGAGGGUGAGCGAAUCUCGGAAAGCCGGUCUCAGUUCGGAUUGGGGUCUGCAACUCGACCUCAUGAAGUCGGAGUCGCUAGUAAUCGCAGAUCAGCAACGCUGCGGUGAAUACGUUCCCGGG